AAGCUGAACAGCCAUGCCGCGUGCAGGAAGAAGGCCUUCUGGGUUGUAAACUGCUUUUGCCAGGGGAUAAAAAUACCUUGCGAGGUAAAUUGAAGGUACCUGGUGAAUAAGCCACGGCUAACUACGUGCCAGCAGCCGCGGUAAUACGUAGGUGGCAAGCGUUGUCCGGAUUUAUUGGGUUUAAAGGGUGCGUAGGCGGCCCUGUAAGUCAGUGCUGAAAUAUCCCAGCUUAACUGGGAGGGUGGCAUUGAUACUGCGGGGCUAGAGUACAGAUGAGGUAGGCGGAAUUGACGGUGUAUCGGUGAAAUGCUUAGAUAUCGUCAAGAACACCUAUAGCGAAGGCAGCUUACUAGGCUGUAACUGACGCUGAGGCACGAAAGUGUGGGGAUCAAACAGGAUUAAAUACCCUGGUAGUCCACACUGUAAACGUUGAUUACUCGCUGUGUGCGAUAUACAGUACGCGGCCAAGCGAAAGCGCUAAGUAAUCCACCUGGGGAGUACGCCGGCAACGGUGAAACUCAAAGGAAAUUGACGG
rnacentral:rRNA from 1 species